AUGCCCUUCACAUUAGGGUUUCUUGCACCGCCAAGGUUUCCUCCACUCACCCUACUGACCUCCUUCGGUAGCAAGGCCGUCCUCGGCAGCGGAAAGACGGCAAGCUCACUGCCCUUCUCACCAAGAUUCUCUCACCUAAGAAAAGCUGUGACAAAGGUAAGAAAACUUCCUUGGCGGAUCCUAUUUGACGCCCGCAUGCGUCAAAAGGACGUGGCUCCGCUGAAGCCUGGCCACCCAACGCCCCAGUUUGGGCCGGCCCACGAGCGAACCACACUCGAGUCAGCUGCACGGCGUCAGGUUAUUCCUCCCGAUCUCCUCCCUUCCUGGAACCUCCGGUCCUCCUCGAUCUCGCCCUCCUCCCUCUCCUCUGCGCCCGCCGACGUGGGCCGCGUCUCCAUGUCCUCGGCCAUGCCGGCGGCGGCAGCGAUGCGAUCUGGUGUCGGCGCCGACGGAGUUACCGUCUCAUCCCCUUGCCCAUUAAUCCCGUGUCUGGACCAAGCACGACACCAUCUCGGUGUUUCACGCCGCGACAAUGCCCGCCCGGGCUCAAACCCCCCUCCCCCACGAGGUCCUCCUCCUCGACGCCCCGCUCUCUUCGUCCCUUCUCUCCUCCGCUCGCCGCUUGGUCGUAGAACUAGUCAGGGCAGGGGACGACAUGGCGGCCGCUAUACAUUGCCGUCGCCGACGGCCGCCAGAAGAGCAGCUUCCCCUGCACGCGCCCCAUCCCGCAGAGCGCGCUCCAGCUCAUGGGCUGCAAGCCACGCCACACCUUCAAGUAUGAUGUUCACAGCAGGGGCGGAGCUAGUUAGGCUGACAGCGGUGCAUCAGGUACAGAGACAAUCCCAUGGCGGCCUUGUUCGGAACUGGUUCAUGGGUAGGCCAGGUCUUGUUCAGACGUGGCCAGGCCUUGGCGUAGCCUUGUGGGCCUUUUGGGUAGGUUUGGUGUGGCUGGGCAUCAAGGCGUCAAUGCCCUUAGAGAUUGUCAAUAUUGUUUGGCGUCUCCUGCUCUCCCUCUUUUAUAUUUGGUUGUUUGGUCUCACACUGAACCUGCUAGAUGUAAUGUGGACUCAGGGCCAGAACAGAGAAGAAGCAGAGCAGCUAGACUUGGGUGAACACAGCCAAAAGAACGCCGAUAAAUGUAAGAAACAGAAGACAAAACACAAAAUUGGAUCAAAAUCUUACUCGCAAGUAAGCUUUGAGAAGUUAUUCAAUGAUGUGCAUUCGAACAAAGCACGUCAAGAGGUUCAAAACAAAGAAACUGAAACUGAAGGUCUACUUUCAAGUGAGCAGAAAAACAAUAUUUUCCAGACCUCAUACAAAGGCACUCUGAAAUGCAAGUCAUUGCAGCCUCGUGGAUUGAAGAGCAAGCCUACAACAGCCACCCAGCAGCAAAACUCUAAGCUCAGCCAGCAGGUCAACGAAUUACAAGAUCAACUACAAGAUGAACAUGCAAACACACAAGAGAGGAUUAACUUGGAGCGUGGUGCCUAA
rnacentral:rRNA from 1 species